rnacentral:ncRNA from 2 species
AUACUUCGCAGCGUUCAAGGUGCUUUUUGUAUUAAUGCAGGAAGUUAAACGGGAAACUGGUGUAAAUCCAGCGCUGCCCCCGCAACGGUAAACAUUGAAAGUAGCUCGAUGACUUUCACUUAUUAUUCACCAACAUUAUGCUUGGCGUCAUCCACUGUGUUCAACACGGGAAGGUUUUAAUAAGACAGUGUAAGCCCGGAUACCGGCCCUGAUAGGUACGGGCAA